GAUGAACGCUGGCGGCGUGCCUAAUACAUGCAAGUCGAGCGAACGGACGAGAAGCUUGCUUCUCUGAUGUUAGCGGCGGACGGGUGAGUAACACGUGGAUAACCUACCUAUAAGACUGGGAUAACUUCGGGAAACCGGAGCUAAUACCGGAUGAUAUUUUGAACCGCAUGGUUCAAAAGUGAAAGACGGUCUUGCUGUCACUUAUAGAUGGAUCCGCGCUGCAUUAGCUAGUUGGUAAGGUAACGGCUUACCAAGGCAACGAUGCAUAGCCGACCUGAGAGGGUGAUCGGCCACACUGGAACUGAGACACGGUCCAGACUCCUACGGGAGGCAGCAGUAGGGAAUCUUCGGCAAUGGGCGAAAGCCUGACGGAGCAACGCCGCGUGAGUGAUGAAGGUCUUCGGGUCGUAAAGCUCUGUUGUUGGGGAAGAAAAUAAGCGUGAGUAUCUGUGGACGUCUUGACGGUACCCAAUCAGAAAGCAACGGCUAACUACGUG
rnacentral:rRNA from 1 species